rnacentral:rRNA from 1 species
UGCCAGCAGCCGCGGUAAGACGGAGGGUGCAAGCGUUGUUCGGAAUUACUGGGCGUAAAGCGAGUGUAGGCGGCUUGGUAAGUCGGGUGUGAAAGCCCGGGGCUCAACCCCGGAACUGCGCCCGAUACUGCUAUGGCUUGAGUACGAGAGAGGGUUGCGGAAUUGUCGGUGUAGAGGUGAAAUUCGUAGAUAUCGGCAAGAACACCAGCGGCGAAGGCGGCAACCUGGUUCGAUACUGACGCUCAGACUCGAAAGCGUGGGGAGCAAACAGGAUUAGAUA